GGUCCUCUGUGUGGACCUCGCCGCGGGGGCCGCGCACCGCUAGGUGUGCGACCGGCCGCCCCGGGCCCCGCGAUACACACUUCCAAAAAAACACAGCAUAUCACCAUCGCUACAAGAUUUCAAAACUAGUGUUAAGUGAAGUGUUCUCGUUUCGAAAUUAUGUGGGUUUCGGGUGCGUACUGACUUUAAAAAGUGAGUUUCUGAAUAAACAAUAUAUGGUCAACAUAUUAUUAUAUUAUACUUAAUUAUGAAA